CUUAAGGAAAAGAAGAAGAAAAAAAGAAAAAAAAGGGGGAAAAAGAAAACAGGGUAAAGAGAAAAAGAUCAUGCAUAAACCUAAGCGUUUCACUGAAAGUAAAACGCGAGUUUAUCGCUUCCUUACAGAGAUGGAACCAAGGACAGCAAAUGCUGACGAGGAGAAGAGACGGACGAGCGUUUGCUUGCGGUUAAUACCGAAGGGACGGGAUGAAACAAGGAAGCCAGAAUGCAGCGGCCCCUCGAUAUCACCAGGAACUGCUACAGGAGGAGGCGUUCUGGCACGGGUAACUAGGAUUAAUUGCCACGGCUGAAGUUGAAGAGACCAAGAAACGUAAGCCGCGAAGGGGCACAUCUUGAAGAGAGGGGGCUAGACCUAGCGAUGCAGUUGUUCGUUUUGGUCAUCGCCUGUGAGGCCAGCAUGCAAGAGUAAGAGGAAGCUAGGAGCAGUCUCAAAAAGAGAUGGAACCAAGGACAGCAAAUGCUGACGAGGAGAAGAGACGGACGAGCGUUUGCUUGCGGUUAAUACCGAAGGGACGGGAUGAAACAAGGAAGCCAGAAUGCAGCGGCCCCUCAAUAUCACCAGGAACUGCUACAGGAGGAGGCGUUCUGGCACGGGUAACUAGGGUAAGUAUGGCUAAUGACCGUUAGCAGUUAUUUUGGCCUCCCCGAGGCAGCGCUGAGGACUAAGUAACCUGAGGGGCUCUGGCCUGGGUUGGGGCAGAAGUGCAGGCAGGCGGGAUCAGGCAUUUUCCUCUCAGCUCUCCGAGCUGAAUCCUAGCCCUGAAGGAAAAAGCACUGGGGGGAGGCUACUCGGACACCUGCCAAGUCGAGGGCAGGGGCAGGAGCUGACCCUUCCCCGACGGACAGACGUACGGACAGACGCUGGUGCGGCGGUGACUCUUUGGAUAUCGUAGGUAAGGGGAGGCACGCUGGUGCCGAGCUCCGGGGCGGUUUGCCUGAACACGAUGCCUGAGGCAGGAGGUUAUGCAUUGUGUCCGGGGCUGGGAGCUGGUCCCCGAGUCCCAUGUACUUGGGAGUGCCUGCGCUUGCCAGGGUGCCCGGUGCUGUUCCCAGAGCUGCGGGGAAUUUCCCU